rnacentral:lncRNA from 1 species
CUUCAAUGAGCUCCUACUCAGCAACUUCUACCUGCUGAACACCCGGAUCCUCAGCCACUAGCUCUUCUACUCGCCACAAUACAAACAAGCAUAGUACAAAGAGGAAAUUAACAUCACACCAAACAUGUAUACAAAAUACAUAUUAAUAAUCUACAUAUUAAAAUGAGAUCAUAGAAAAAAAAAUCAUUAAAUUUGGAGUUAUGGAUUUUAAGUUAUGAAUUUCUAAAGGUUUUAUAUGUUUGGUACAAGAUUAAUUAAGAGAUCAAUUUUAAUACAAUUUUCAUGUUAAAACAGUGUCACAAUGUCAUAGUCCAUAUUAAUACAAAAUUAUAGGAACUGGAAUGAACCAAUUUGGACUUAGUAUGAAUUUUCUAGGAAUUAAAUAAGUUUCUGCAAUUAUUUCUAUAUUCACAAAUCAAUUUAUAAAUAAUUUCUCUGAUUUACCUAGUCACUAGAAUGCGCGCGUGAAUAAAAAAACCCAGGGGCUAGCGUGUAAAGUACCCAAGACUCAGUCCACACCCAGGUGGACUGCGGGUUGAAACCUAAAUACCUCGGGGGCUCUUAUUCAAAAUUUCCAGACCGAGCGCUUAUGGGUUCUCCACACCGUCCUAUCAAAGUCACACGACGCAGAUUAGAUCACAUUAUAAACGAAGCGGUACGCGUCUCACAGCAGUUGGAUUAUGGAUCAGCGGCGCCGAUUUUAUAACUGAAGGGUGACAUUCUGAUCUAAUCUCAUCCCUCGAUCCUACGAUCUACGGACUAAUAUGGUCCAACCGAAUCGGUACGCAGUGUGUAAUCACCGCCGUCCAUUCUUAGAUCGAUGGCCACCGCACUGUCGUCUCCCUCCUGCCGGUAUGCAUACGCGCCGCCCCCAACACUCACCGACGUUCCGCCGCGGCAAGCGAUUCCACGACCCGGCCCUCUACUUCGACCCCCGAUUUAUGAAAACUACUGCGGAUAUGGUGAGGAAGGUACUAGGCUAGGACGUACCGGUUAAUUUGGUGCCCAAAACAGCCGGCCACGGCCGACCACAAAUCCGCCGCGUGAAUUACUCCGGCGACGAAUUAACUGUAUUCUGAAGACCGACACUCAUGGCGGCUAGACUACUGAAGACCCGCGUGCUUCCGCGAACCCCAAUUGUGACUUCCCCGAACCAGGACGGCGGCGUUCCGAGGAAAUGACGCGGCAGCUACCCUCUUUCUCUCUCUCUCUCUCUCUCUUCGCUGUCUCUCUACUGAUGCGGAUAGCAGUGACCUAGGGGUCUCAUGGGUCUAGGAUUUAGAUGCGCAGGGUC